ACCUACGGCCAUACCACCCUGAACACGCCCGAUCUCGUCUGAUCUCGGAAGCUAAGCAGGGUCGGGUCUGGUUAGUACUUGGAUGGGAGACNGCCUGGGAAUACCGGGUGCUGUAGGCU
rnacentral:rRNA from 1 species